rnacentral:rRNA from 1 species
UACGAAGGGGGCUAGCGUUGCUCGGAAUCACUGGGCGUAAAGGGUGCGUAGGCGGGCAGGUAAGUCAGUGGUGAAAUCUCCAAGCUUAACUUGGAAACUGCCGUUGAUACUAUCUGUCUUGAAUACUGUGGAGGUGAGCGGAAUAUGUCAUGUAGCGGUGAAAUGCUUAGAUAUGACAUAGAACACCAAUUGCGAAGGCAGCUCACUACACAGCCAUUGACGCUGAGGCACGAAAGCGUGGGGAUCAAACAGG